UGAUCCUGGCUCAGAACGUACGCUGGCGGCACGCCUAACACAUGCAAGUCGAACGAAGUAGCAAUACUUAGUGGCAGACGGGUGAGUAACAUGUAGGUAUCUGCCCUUUGGCCUGGAAUAACACGAGGAAACUUGUGCUAAUACCGGAUAAGUCUUUACAGAGAAAGCUUUAUGCACCAUUAGAUGAGCCUGCACUUGAUUAGUUUGUUGGUGGGGUAAUGGCCUACCAAGACUGUGAUCAAUAGCUGAUUUGAGAGGAUGAUCAGCCACAUUGGGACUGAGACACGGCCCAAACUCCUACGGGAGGCAGCAGUGGGGAAUCUUGCACAAUGGAGGAAACUCUGAUGCAGCGAUGCCGCGUGAGUGAAGAAGGCCUUUGGGUUGUAAAGCUCUUUCGUCGGGGAAGAAAAUGACUGUACCCGAAUAAGAAGGUCCGGCUAACUUCGUGCCAGCAGCCGCGGUAAUACGAAGGGACCUAGCGUAGUUCGGAAUUACUGGGCUUAAAGAGUUCGUAGGUGGUUGAAAAAGUUGGUGGUGAAAGCCCAGAGCUUAACUCUGGAACUGCCAUCAAAACUUUUCAGCUAGAGUAUGAUAGAGGAAAGCAGAAUUUCUAGUGUAGAGGUGAAAUUCGUAGAUAUUAGAAAGAAUACCAAUUGCGAAGGCAGCUUUCUGGAUCAUUACUGACACUGAGGAACGAAAGCAUGGGUAGCGAAGAGGAUUAGAUACCCUGGUAGUCCAUGCCGUAAACGAUGUCUACUAGCCGUUGGGGCCUUUGAGGCUUUAGUGGCGCAGCUAACGCGAUAAGUAGACCGCCUGGGGAGUACGGUCGCAAGACUAAAACUCAAAUGAAUUGACGGGGGCCCGCACAAGCGGUGGAGCAUGUGGUUUAAUUCGAUGCAACGCGAAGAACCUUACCUGGUCUUGACAUAGUAAGAACUUUCCAGAGAUGGAUCGGUGCCUUCGGGAACUUACAUACAGGUGCUGCAUGGCUGUCGUCAGCUCGUGUCGUGAGAUGUUGGGUUAAGUCCCGCAACGAGCGCAACCCUUUUCCUUAUUUGCCAGCGGGUUAAGCCGGGAACUUUAAGGAUACUGCCAGUGACAAACUGGAGGAAGGCGGGGACGAUGUCAAGUCAUCAUGGCCCUUACGACCAGGGCUACACACGUGCUACAAUGGUCGGUACAAAGGGUUGCUACCUAGCGAUAGGAUGCUAAUCUCAAAAAGCCGAUCGUAGUCCGGAUUGGAGUCUGCAACUCGACUCCAUGAAGUCGGAAUCGCUAGUAAUCGCGGAUCAGAAUGCCGCGGUGAAUACGUUCCCGGGCCUUGUACACACCGCCCGUCACACCAUGGGAAUUUGUUGCACCAGAAGUAGGUAGUCUAACCGCAAGGAGGACGCUUACCACGGUGUGGCCGAUGACUGGGGUGAAGUCGUAACAAGGUAACC
rnacentral:rRNA from 1 species